rnacentral:lncRNA from 1 species
UGUGGUGCCAGGCUGGAAUGGUCUGCUUGGGGACCUAGCCAGCUCCCACGGCCUUUCUGCUGCUUCCUCUACCCCCGUAUUUUGCUCAGCUCUCGAAAUUGACUCAGCAGCAUUAUUCACAAUAACCAAGAGAUGGAAGCAAUACAAAUGUCUAUCAACAGAUGAACAGACCAAGAAAAUGUGAUACACUCACACGACGGGACACCAUUCUGUCUUAAAAAGGAAGAAUAUAUGCUCCAUGAGAGAAAGGACAGAAGCCUCACCUCGCAGGUGUCCCAGGACCAAUAAUGGCAGAACACUGAAACCCUCUACAUCUUGCAAGAUUUCUUCACUUUCUGAGCCUCUGAUUUCUCAUCUAUAGGACAAGUAUAAUUAUACACAGUGGCGUGCUGGCCUCAUGUGGAACCAAAAAAGGAUGUAAAGGAGCUGGCAGUUCUGUGGCCUGGAUAGUUAAAGACAGAUACUUUCCCAAGUCUUGAAAAAACAAAGCCUUAAGUUGAUGGGAACCGAAAUAUCUCAAACUAAGUCAGCCUGGUAGAGCCACUUGAUCCAGCCAGCUGAAAUGCAGAUGGAGGACUCUGAAGACUGAAACUUGUAAUUUGGACCUAGGUUUGCUACUCUGGUUAAUAUCAGAACAUACUGAAGCCAAGAAUCCUUGGUUUGGUGUCUAAUUCUGGGUUUAGCAUUCAAUUUCUUCAAAGAGGAGGACAGUAGAAGAGACAAGUUUCCUUUUGAGUGCAAGAAAACCAAAUUUAGCAAAUAAUCUCCCCAAUAAGUAAGAAAAUUUGAGACCACCUACUACAACAGACCCUCGAACAAUACAGGGGUUAGGAGCACUAGCCUCCCAUGCAGUCAAAACUCUUUGUAUAACUAUUGACUCCCCAAAAACUUAACUACUAGUAGCCUAGUGUAGACUGGAAACCUAACCAAUAACAUAAACAAUCAUUGACACAUAUUUGAUAUGUUAUAUGUGUUAUAUACUGCAUUCUUACAAGGAAGCUGGGGAAAAGCCCAAAAUCUC